rnacentral:rRNA from 1 species
UACGUAGGGUGCAAGCGUUAAUCGGAAUUACUGGGCGUAAAGCGUGCGCAGGCGGUUUUGUAAGCCAGAUGUGAAAUCCCCGGGCUUAACCUGGGAAUGGCAUUGGUGACUGCACGGCUAGAGUGUGUCAGAGGGGGGUAGAAUUCCACGUGUAGCAGUGAAAUGCGUAGAGAUGUGGAGGAAUACCGAUGGCGAAGGCAGCCCCCUGGGAUAACACUGACGCUCAUGCACGAAAGCGUGGGGAGCAAACAGG